rnacentral:tRNA from 1 species
GGGGAUAUAGCUCAGUUGGUAGAGUGCUAGCCUCACAUGCUACAAGGCCAUGGGUUCAAUCCCCAGAACCACA